rnacentral:misc_RNA from 1 species
UUGAUUAUUUCGUCCACGACUCAGAGAUGCCACCAAAGACAGAGUUCGGUUGGGGCGCCUGGCGGGCACCUCCCCCCGGAGGGGAGGCCGCGGCCCCUCCCUGGGGCUGCCCGCCGGAGCAACGAGAACGGUUCACAGAGGGUUGAUGGAGGGGCCCGGGGGCGCUCCUUCUCGUAAUGAUCCCUCCGCUGGUUCACCAACGGAGA